rnacentral:lncRNA from 1 species
UGAGAUUAUGACACUCCUGUGCGCACCCUGACAAUAGUAAAGAUUGUCAUUUUCCCACAUGAACCCAGCCAAUUUUGAGGUUCUGAACCUCACACCCAAAGGCAGUUGAAAGUUGAAAAAUUGAAUCACAUACAUGGAUCUUGUCCACAGAUGGGUUGGUGACUCUCAGACCAAGAUUCAGCACACCUGUGAGCCUCUGACUCCACUGAGGGAACACAGUUCAUGGGAGGGAUUGAGGAUUUAAUACACAGAUCCAGUUCACCUUUGAGAUGGUGACUCGUGUAAUUAGACACAACAUACAGAGAGAUUAUGACAUAUCUCUGGAACCAGAACCUUAGUGAUGUGACUCUUGUCUCCUGCUGAAGCCAUGCCCACACAAGGGAAAGUGACUCAUCACUGGACCCAGCACACAGGUGAUGUAAUUCUUCUGCCUUGUUUUUGUACCCAGGAGCCAUUGUAAUCCAUCUCUGGGCCCAUCAUUUAAAUGAUGUGACUAUCCUUUUCUUCCUGAGCCCUAUUCACAGGGAAAAUAGUGACACAUCUGUGGGCUUCUCACCGAAAUGAUGUGACUUUCCUUCCUGGGCUCACCUCUCAAGGGAAUUUUGACAUAUUACUGGACCAAGCACCUAGGUGAUGUGGCUCUGACAAACGAGAAAUUGUGAUGUACCACUGUUCCACACCUAAGAGAUCUGACUCUCUUUUCAUGAGCCCUGCAUUUAUUGUGUAUUGUGACAUAUGGCUUGGUCCAACGCCUAGGUGAUGUGACUCUCUACUUCUUCCUCGGCCAUGCCAAAGAAGAGGAUUGUGACAUAUCACUGGAUCCAGCACUUAGGUGAUGUAAAUCUUUUCUUUUGCUGAGCCAUGCAUAUUUUUGGUAUUGUGACAUGUAGCUGGACCGAACACCUACAGGACUGGAUCAGAGGCUACUUAAUAAGCCCUGCCCAUAGGCGGCCUUGUGACAUAUGUCUGCAUCUAUCACCAAAGUGAUGUGACUCUUUUUCUGCCUGCAUCCUGCACAUAGAGAAGAUUGUGACAUAUCGCUGGGCCCAGUAACCAGGUGAUGUGUCUUUUCUGGCAGGUCUUUUCCCACAGGGAGCAUUGUAAAAUAUCACUGGGCUCGGCCACCAGGUUAUGUGACCCUUCUGCCUGUGCCCUGCUUCCUGGAAAUGUGACAUUCCUCAUACAGCACCCAGGUGAUGUGACUCUUCUGCUCAUUUUCUACUUAUAGUUGGGAUUGUGACAAAUAUCCUGGCCCAACUCAUAGGUGCUAUGAUGAUUCCCGUACCUGGAAUCAGCCAAUAGGGAGAUAGUGUCUCUUGUAUUGUAGCCUAGGGAAACAAGUAAGAUCCUGGGCCUCCUCUUUGUAUGAAUGUCAUAAAGAGUUAUCAAUCUGACUGGGCAGUGUGGCUCAUGCCUGUAAUCCCAGCACUUUGGGAGGCCAAGGUGGGUGAAUCACGAGGUCAGGAGUUGGAGAGCAGCCUGGCCAACAUAGUGAAACUCUGUCUCUACUAAAAAUACAAAAAUUAGCCGGGUGUGGUGACAUGUGCCUGUAAUCCCAGCUACUCAAGAGGCUGAGGUGGGAGAAUCACUUGAACCCGGGAGGCAGAGGUUGCAGUGAGCUGAGACCAUGCCAUUGCACUCCAGCUUGGGUGACAGAGUGAGAUGAGGCUCCCUCUCAAAAAAAAAAAAAAAAAAGAGAAGAAAGAAAGAAUUACCAAUCUUUGGUGUGUUUCAUAAACCAUUUGGGUGGCACAAAGAAUGUCUUCAGAGGGCUUAGCGCACAGGUGAGAUUGUUUCUAAAAUGCAGAAACUGCCAACUGUUAGGACUGUCACCCUUACACAUGGCAAAAGCCAGCUAGUGAGCUCCUGAAUCUCACAGGUGGACACAGUUCAAAGUUGGAAUUGUGACUGUCAUAUAUUAACAUUUGGCCACAAUUAAGGUGGUGACUCAUUAAUAAAUGCAGUACAUAGGUAGGUGAAGACUCUCUGAUCUAGACCCUGUCAACUAGAGAGUGGGGACUCUGUAAUCUGGACCUUGCCAACUAUGCUCAGAAAGGUCUCAGAGCAGACUGUGACUUUUAUGCACACUCUACAAAGCCCUCAGGCGGUGCAGAAAGUGUUCCAACAGAGCCCAGCACACAGGUGAAAACCCCUGCCUGUGCCCUGCCCAUAUGGGCAAUUUUGACAUGUUGCUGAGUCUGAUACCUGGGUGAUGUAACUCUCUGGCCUGGUCCUGCCUACAAGGUUUUCUGUAACAUAUCUAUGCACCAGUCAACUUUGUGUUUUGAUAAUCCUCUUCUACCAAUUUCUGCUCAAAAGAAGGAUUUUGACAAAUAAUUGGGACCAGCACCUAGCUGACAUUAUUCUACUUUUCUUUCAAGGUUUGGUUUUCAGGGGAUGUUGUGACAUGUCACUAGGCUAACAGACAGGUGAUAUUCUUCUGCCUUGGCUCUUCCAAAAUAAAGCAUUUUUACACAGUGCUAUGCCCAGGACCACAGUGACUGAGUCUCCUGCCUAGACCCUGCCCACAGAAAGAUUGUAACAUAUCUCUAGACCCAUCAACUAUUUGAUGUGAGUCUCUUCUUUUACCUUGUCUUUUCCCACAAAAGAGAUUGUGAUAUGUCUCUGGGCCCAGCACCUAGGUGAUGUGACUUCUUCUGCCUGGAUCAUGCCCAUAGAAGGGAGAGUAACUUAAUACUGGGCUUACCACAGACAUGCUGAGAUACUUCUGCCUGUUACUUGCCCGCAGGAUGCAUAUGCCAGAUUUCUGGGCCCAUCACCUAGAUGAUGGGACUCUCCUUUCUGGGACCAGUACACAGUGGGAACUGUGAUGCAUUGUUUAGCUCAGCAGCUACAUAAUGUAACUCCC